rnacentral:rRNA from 1 species
GACAGAGGUUGCAAGCGUUGUUCGGAAUUACUGGGCAUAAAGCGCACGUAGGCGGUCCGCUAAGUCAUGUGUGAAAUCCCCCGGCUCAACCGGGGAAUGGCGCCUGAUACUGGCGGACUCGAGAUCGGUAGGGGUGAGUGGAACUCCAGGUGGAGCGGUGAAAUGCGUAGAUAUCUGGAGGAACACCGGUGGCGAAAGCGACUCACUGGACCGACACUGACGCUGAGGCGCGAAAGCCAGGGGAGCGAACGGG